GCCAGACUCCUACGGGAGGCAGCAGUGGGGAAUAUUGCACAAUGGGGGAAACCCUGAUGCAGCGACGCCGCGUGAGCGAUGAAGUAUUUCGGUAUGUAAAGCUCUCUCAGCAGGGAAGAAGAUGACGGUACCUGACUAAGAAGCCCCGGCUAACUACGUGCCAGCAGCCGCGGUAAUACGUAGGGGGCAAGCGUUAUCCGGAUUUACUGGGUGUAAAGGGAGCGCAGGCGGCGCGUUAAGCCUGGUGUGAAAGCCCGCGGCCCAACCGCGGGACUGCAUUGGGAACUGGCGCGCUGGAGUGCCGGAGGGGUAGGCGGAAUUCCUAGUGUAGCGGUGAAAUGCGUAGAUAUUAGGAGGAACACCAGUGGCGAAGGCGGCCUGCUGGACGAUGACUGACGUUGAGGCUCGAAAGCGUGGGGAGCAAACAGGAUUAGAUACCCCCGUAA
rnacentral:rRNA from 1 species